GACGUAGGGGGCGAGCGUUGUCCGGAUUCAUUGGGCGUAAAGCGCGCGUAGGCGGCUGCGCAAGUCGGUUGUGAAAUUCCGGGGCUCAACCCCGGAACUGCGUCCGAUACUGCGUGGCUAGAGGUAGGUAGGGGAGAUCGGAAUUCCUGGUGUAGCGGUGAAAUGCGCAGAUAUCAGGAGGAACACCGGUGGCGAAGGCGGAUCUCUGGGCCUUACCUGACGCUCAGGCGCGAAAGCGUGGGGAGCGAACAGG
rnacentral:rRNA from 1 species